UUAAAGCAAGUAAUUAAAACGGACGCAUGAGAUUAGAUCGUGAGAGAGAGAUCCAAGGGCCAUGAGCAGCACACGUGGUACUGGUGGUGGAAAGCACCGUCUUCUCCGAUCAACCACACGAACUCCGGCGAGAUUUGCAGGAAAAUGAAACUUAUCAAAAAUGAAAAACAAAGGCAUGGAAAUGAAGCUCAUGUGAUAUAGAUCAUCACUGUACCAUUGGAUUUCUUUCAUUCUUCCUAUAUUGAGAGAAAG
rnacentral:lncRNA from 1 species